GAUGAAGAACGUAGCGAAAUGCGAUAAGUAAUGUGAAUUGCAGAAUUCAGUGAAUCAUCGAGUCUUUGAACGCACCUUGCGCCCUUUGGCUAUUCCGAAGGGCAUGCCUGUUUGAGUAUCGUGAACACCUCAACUCUCAUGGUUUGCCAUGAUGAGCUUGGACUUGGGGGUUUUGCUGGCCUUCGGUCGGCUCCUCUCAAACGGAUCAGCUUUCCAGUGUUUGGUGGCGUCACGGGUGUGAUAACUAUCUACGCCUGUGGUUUUCUGCCAGAUAACCUUCAGCGAUGGAGGUUCGCUGGGGCUCAUAAAUGUCUCUCUUCAGUGGAGACAGCUUUUUGGACGUUUGAUCUCAAAUCAGGUAGGACUACCCGCUGAACUUAAGCAUAUCAAUAAGCGGAGGA
rnacentral:misc_RNA from 1 species